rnacentral:rRNA from 1 species
UGGGGAAUAUUGCACAAUGGGCGCAAGCCUGAUGCAGCCAUGCCGCGUGUAUGAAGAAGGCCUUCGGGUUGUAAAGUACUUUCAGCGGGGAGGAGGGGAGUAAAGUUAAUACCUUUGCUCAUUGACGUUACCCGCAGAAGAAGCACCGGCUAACUCCGUGCCAGCAGCCGCGGUAAUACGGAGGGUGCAAGCGUUAAUCGGAAUUACUGGGCGUAAAGCGCACGCAGGCGGUUUGUUAAGUCAGAUGUGAAAUCCCCGGGCUCAACCUGGGAACUGCAUCUGAUACUGGCAAGCUUGAGUCUCGUAGAGGGGGGUAGAAUUCCAGGUGUAGCGAUGAAAUGCGUAGAGAUCUGGAGGAAUACCGGUGGCGAAGGCGGCCCCCUGGACGAAGACUGACGCUCAGGUGCGAAAGCGUGGGGAGCAAACAGG